ensembl:lncRNA
CAGCCUGUAAACACCCCUUCAUCAGCAGGCCCUGCUCCCAACGUCUGAGGAGCUGGUUCACCAACAUCCUGCAAGGGCCUGCUGACAGCAUUUCCCACCUUUCUGCUCCGCCCUGCUGGCUCCUUUGACUUGCUCCCCAGAUGCAGAGUUGACAGUCCUGGUUUUGCCAGCCUUGCCCUUCAGGACAGGCAGGGCUCUGUGCUGGGAGCAGAGGUCUCAAGGGACUGCUGUGUCUGACCCUGAACCUGUAACCUCAGCCCUCUGUGUUCACUACACAGAACUCAGGUGGGCUUGUCUCAGGGCCAGGGGCCAGCGGAAGCCACCACCCCCGGUGAAGCCUCAGCCUCGAUGAGGCCCUGCUCAGACUGCACUGUGGGCUUCACGUUAGGAAGGUCUACUGGCCUGAAAGGUCUCAGAAGCCUGGCCCACACCUUCACCUUCUGUCUCGGGGCCCCUGCCUCCAGCUGCAGGACCGGACCAGGGGUUGUAUCCCCACCGUACACACACCUGGACUCUGCAGCUUCUAUGGCCGCCAUUGGAAGACUCUCCUGAGACUUCACAGGAGUCACUCGCGUGUCACCAGCCCUCAUUCUCCGUCAGUCAUCUGGGUAACACGUUCCCUCUCCCAAUGAGUGAUCAUCUUUCUACUUUGUUGGUGGUGACUUCUGUGGUCAUCAUGCUGUGAACUUCAUCCGAGCUACUGCAGCUAGCAAGAACUCAUUUACUCUUUUGGCUGCGUGAUAUUCCACAGUUAACUAUAAAACUGCCCCAGCAGCCCUUUGACAGUAUGGUGUGCCGGUGAACUGCUGCCUGUCCAAUCCAGAUUCCGCUAUGUAAGUUACCCUAUAAUAAACUGAUCUGUUGCCUCUAUGGAGCUGCCUGCCUCCUUUUGCUGUUUCAAGAUGUCUUCUCAGUUGGCUGAACAUUUUUCCUUCAAUCCAUCUUCCAACAUCCAUCAUUAAGUAUAAUGUUCUCUGUAGAUUUAUUUUUUUUGUAGUUACCUUCUAUCAAAUUGAGAAAUUCCUUUCUAUGCCUAGGUUGCUAAGAGUUUUAUUUUUUAUUGUGAUUGAGUAUGAAUGUUAAUUUAAUGAUUUUUCAUGUAUCUAUCAAGGAGGUCAUAUUAACUUUUCACCAUUGAUCUAUCAAUAUGACAAAUUACAUUGAUCAGUUUUGAGAUGUUAAAGCAAUCUCGCAUACCUGGAAUGAAUAUCUCUUGUCUAAGUGUUGCCUUUAUAUAUUGCUGUAUUUGAUUUACUAUUUCAAAUAAGUUAAAGAAAUAUUGUUUUUAUUAUUUCAAGUAAAUGCUAUAUUUUUGUAUGUAUGCUUACAAUGAGAAUUAUGUUAAAGAACUAUAGCUUUUUAAGCUUAUCUUUGUUUUUUGAUUCUGCUGGGUUUUUGCUGUGAGUGGGCUUUCUCUAGUUGGGCUGAGUGCGGGCUCCUCUUUGUUGCAUGCGUGGACUCCUCAUUGUGGUAGUCGUGGCACAAGGCUCAGUGGUUUCUGUGCACGGACUUAGUUGUUCUGCAGCACGUGGAAUCUUCCCAGGCCAGGGAUCCACUCCGCAUUGGCAUGGUGGAUUCUUAUCUACUGUGCCACCAGGCAAGUCCCCAGUCAUUUUUAAACUUCUAUCAAUUGUAUUUUCUACAUUUUAAAGUUAAGGUAUUGGGGACACAGAGAUUGAAGGCUGUAAUACCAUCCUCAUGUAUUUACCCCUCCAUCCUUACGUAAGCUCCCUCUAUCUGGAAAUGCUUGUUUUAUGCUUUCUUUGACAUAUAGAGUUUGAGGUUUAUAGUCAUAUGGGUUUUUAUCUGGUUCAAAUUUGCAUACUGUGGCAUUUUCCAUUCUUUUCAUUAAACUUUCUGUGUUUAAGGUGGGUUCUAAUUCACAUACUUUCUGCAGCAUUUGACUUCACAUGGGGGUCUCUAAUGUGACUUCCCUACUGCUUAGGUCUCAGGUUCUGUAUCCUGCCCUUGGCACCUCCUGGGCUGUUAAAACUCAGGCUUUAGCUAUCAGGAAUAAAAAUAUGUCUUCUACAAAAUUAUUUUUAAUUUUAUUUUUAAAUCACUUCAUUGAAUGAGGUAGUGUUGACAUUUACAUAGCUAUACAAAUUUAAUAUAUACAACUUGAUUAGUUUGGAAAUAAGUAUACAUCUGAGAAACCAUCAUCACAGUCUAUGCCAUAAAGAUAACCAUCAUUGUUGAAUGUUUCCUUCUACCCUCUAUAUUAUUAAAUCUUUGUGAUAAGAACACAACAUUAGAUAUACCAAACUUUUAAAUAUACAGUACAAUAUUGUUAACUAUUGGGCUUCCCUGGUGGCUCAGUGGUAAAGAAUCCGCCUGCCAAUGCAGGAAACGUGGGUUCGAUUCCUGGCUUGGGAAGAUCCCCUGGAGAAGGAAAUGGCAAACGACUCCAAUAUUCUUGCCUGGGAAAUCCCAUGGACAGAGGAGCCUGGUGGGCUACAGUCCAUGGGAUCGCAAAGAAUUGCAUAUGACUUAGGGAUUAAACAACAACAACAACCACAACAUUGCUAACUAUAGACAUUAUACAGUGUAUAGAUUUCUAGGGCUUAUUCACUGUGUAUAACUGAAACUUUAUACCCUUUGACUAAUACCCCAGUCCACUCCCAGCCCCUGGCAACCUCCGUGAUAGUGUUUGCUUCUAUAAGUUUGACCAUUUUAGAUUCUCCAUGUAAGUAACAUCUUAAAAGGUUUUGUCCUUCUGUGUCUUAUUUCACUUAACAUAAUGCCCUCCAGGUUCAUUCAUGUUGUCAUAAGUGGCAGGAUUUCCCACUUUUUAAAGGCUGAAUAGCAUUCCAUUGUAUGUGGGUACCACAUUCUCUUUACCCCUUUGUGUGUUGAUGGACCUUAGGUUGCCUCCAAGACUUGGCAGUGGUGAACAAUGCUGCAAUGAACACGAAGUGCAGGCAUCUCUUAAAAUCCUGACUUUACUUCUUGUGGAUUCAUACCCAGACGUGGGAUUGUGGGAUCAUAGCAUAGUUCUGUUAGGCAGUUAGAAUAAGAAAAAAGGAGUCCAGAAUGGCAGUGGCUAAACCACACAGAAGGGGAAAGCCCGAGAAAAUAGAACAAAGGAAGAGUCGGAGGACAGGAGUGAGGACCUUGGGUAAAACAACAUCCCUGGCUAGCCCAAUUUACAUAGGGCAGGCUCGGGGGAGAAGAAAAGAACUUAAAAAGAGGGGCCAAAACUGGGCCAGAGGCCAGCCCUCACGCCUCAAGGAUGUAUUUUCCUUUCUUUCUAAAUAAAAUUGAGCUGUAACACUGGUCUGUCUGAGGAAAUUACGAGGAAAUUACGUGGGGCUGUAAUACUGGUCCAUCCAUUGCUUCAAAUUUUUGUUGUGAUGAGACAGAACCCAGGAAAUUACUAACUCCCCCAACAGUUCUAUUCAUUCUUAGGAAGUCUUUAAGUAAAUACUUGGAGAAGGCAAUGGCACCCCACUCCAGUACUCUUGCCUGGAAAAUCCCAUGGACGGAGGAGCCUGGUAGGCUGCAGUCCAUGGGGUCUCUAAGACUGAGCGACUUCACUUUCGCUUUUCACUUUCAUGCAUUGGAGAAGGAAAUGGCAACCCAUGCCAGUGUUCUUGCCUGGAGAAUCCCAGGGACAGGGAAGCCUGGUGGGCUGCCGUCUAUGGGGUUGCACAGAGUCGGACAUAACUGAAGUGGCUUAGCAGUAAGUAAAUACUGACUCCAGCACUUACUCUCUGGUUAGCAUUUUCUUAUUGUUUCUGCCCUCUCAUUGCCUCCCUGACUUCACUGCCAGCUCAGUCAUGAUUUUAAAAGUAUUUUACUUAUAUUCUCAUACAUUUUUAGGUCUUUGAGUAUUGAGAAGGGUUCCUCUAAAUACUUGUUCCAAAAUAUUUCUGAAAAUGAAAAUCUCUUCUUCACCUACUCACCAAUAGGGCUGUUUGUCCAAUAUGUAGGAGAUCUUUUAAAGUACCAUUUUAUUUAGAAAUACAUCCUCCGGAGAAGGCAAUGGCAACCCACUCCAGUGUUCUUGCCUGGAGAAUCCCAGGGACGGAGGAGCCUAGUGGGCUGCCAUCUAUGGGGUCACACAGAGUUGGACACGACUGAAGCGACUUAGCAGCAGCAGCAGCAGCAUAGUAUUCAUCUUUCAACUUUGUUAGUAGCAUCAUUUUUUCUAACACACUGGCUUUGGGUUCCCUGCAUCAUACAUAGAACUCCCAUUAUCUGUUUUACAUAUGGUAACGUAUAUGUUUCAAUGUUAUUCUCUCAUAUCACCUCACCCUCUCCUUCCCCAAGUAGCAUCAUUUUUAUGGAGAAAAUUCGAACACUAAUAAAAUUAAACCUGUCCCUCUUUUUCUUUAUGGCUUCUGGGUGUCAUACCUCACCCAGUUAAGUAUUUCCCACACCUACAUUUUAUUUUAAUUUUCUAAAGUUUAAGCUGUUACAUUAAGCUAUUAAUUCAUCUGGAAUUUAUUAUUAUAGAAAAUGUAUAGAAAGGAUUUAACUGUAUUCAAUCCAUGUAGAUUGUGAAUUAUACUGGCACCAUUUAGUAAAUAAGCUAUGCAAUAUGUUGAGUUGAAAUGUCACCUUUAUUACACAUUACAUUCUCACAUAUACUUGGAUCUAUUUUGGGCUUUUCUAUUAUGAACCAAUGGUGCAUUUGUGUCUUUUGGUGUCAAAAUCAGACUUAUAUUCAUUGCAGUGCCCUUAGUUUGAAGUUUUAGUAUUUCCUAUGGCAAGUUCCUUCUCAAAGUAAUAAUGAGAUUACUUUCCAAUUUUUUCUUGGCAAUUAUUAAAUGCUUAUUCUUCCACCUAAAAUUUUAAAUUGUUUUCUCUGUGUCGGGGAAUUAUAUUUUUUCAUUCUAUUUUCUAUUAAUUUAGGAAGUAUUUUUCUUUCCUUGCCUUUCUUUAAGAAGUUUUUUUCCUGCCAUACACAUAGAGUUGAAAUUGCAGAAUUUGCUCUGUACAUGUAACAUGCUGACUCUUUUAUAUGCCAUUACAUUUCAUUCUCACCAUAAUCUCUGUGAAAGAAUUUUAAUAUCCCCAUUUUAGAGUAAGAAAAAGGACAGAGAAGGGCAGUAAUGUGCCCAGGAUCAUUAGUGAAGAGUGAGCAGGGGUCCCACCCCUGAUAGUCUAUGUAUCAUGCUCCCAAGGGGACCUGGGCAUCUAAGAGUUCAUUUCCAGUGGUUCUCAGGCCCCCAUUUUCUUAUUAGAGUGUUUGGAUUAUUAAAUAAGAAAUAGCCAAAAAUCCAGUUUGUGUAGAAUAAGAUUUGCUCUUAGGACAUUGAUUUCAUCUCAUAGCCUGGACCAACUGUCUGCUGGGGUCCAGGCAUUUAUUCAUUCUUUCUGCCACUUGCCUAGCAGUCAUGUAGGGAGCUGCCUAGUACAUGCGACUGCUGAUCUUCAUAUGUCACUUCGUGGGCACUGUCACGUGUCUUCAUACGUCACUGUUAUCAGCACUGUUCGAGACCAAAGAACGAGGCUUUGCCCCAAUGAACUUUCACUAUAUUUGAGGAGUUGUAAAUAGAGAGCUAAAGAGUCAAGCACAGACUAAAAUAGCCAACACAGGACUAGCCUCUGUGGCUCCUGUUGAGUCCUCAGGUGCAAUGCCUGGCAGGUAUAACAUUGUGGAGGUUGAAGGAAUGAACCAGAUCUACAACACAGGAGGCUAAGCAGCAAAGGGAAUAAAAGGGGUUUAUUUUCUGUCAAUGUAAAACAGUUCUCUCAAUUGGAAGAAGAAAUCCAGUUAGGAACACACCCAACUGAGAUCAGCUCUGUAGAAAUCUUUAAAAUAAUGGAGUGGCCUUCUAUACCAAUGUUCUUAUGAAGAUGAAAGAAAGUGAUGGUCUCUGGGCAGAAACAAAGGCAGCGCACUCUCAUUACCUUGUCCAGAUUCCUGUCUGAGAAGGACACUGCUGUGUGCUGGGGUCCCAGGAUAGGAACUGGGGACAUGUGGGCUGGUUCCUGCCCUCCUCCAGCAAGUUUGGGUUUCCUCUUCAACAUACUGGAUGGUUCUGCUCUGGGGUCAGAACCAAUGUUUUUUCUGGUUUAUCACCUGCCCGCUUGCCUUAUAAUGAGUUUAUUUUUAUAGUGAGAUAGUAUCUCCUAACUUAGGACUAUUUUUUCAAAAGUAUGAUGAGUUUAAAGCUUACAGCAAAUUUAGCAAUCAUUUCAUUCAUGGUUUCUCAAAUUAAUCCAUUGCAAAUUAUACACUUUAAGAUCUUAGUUGAUUUUACACAAACAAAUGGAGGAUGUUUUAUGGUCAAUAAGUUUGGAAAUGUCAAAUUGAAGAAAAUUGAAGAGGCUAGGCCUCUUAACACCAUUAUGUGCAUUUGAAUUGCACAGAGGGAGCUACGGUCAAAAUUACUUAUUUGACCUGGGAAAUUUUUCCUGUCAGUUUCACUGUCUUCUUGGGAUAUGGUGUUCCAAAGGAAACUGGUCCAGUUCAGUCCUCUUCACAGAUACGAGAUCUGAGCCUAAGAGCAUGGAAUAAUUUGCUCAAGAUUUUCUGUCCAUGGGUGGCCAAUUCUGGACUCCUGACCCUCAACCUGGGACACUCUCAAUGAAAUCAACCAUCUUAUCUGAUCCAGAGUGGGCUAAAUGGUGGACAGAGUUGACAUCUUGGUUUCAUGUGAACUACACAGAAAAUCAGGAUGACUUUUCAAAAUAGAGCAAUCCAGAGAAGAAAGGAGGGAUCUGCUAGGUUGGAUGGUAGGGGUGGGAGCCAUGGGUUCACCUCCUCUUUGUGUCAACUUCCCCCCUCAAGAACCCUUUGUGAUGGCACAAUAGUUCUGUGAUGCAGGCCUAGAACUCAGCUUUCCAGUACAUUCUCAAGGCCCAGCUGCAUGAGGCUGGUGAAAGACUCUUCUGAGCAGGCUAGUGUCCCAUGGCCGAGCCCAAGCCUGGCUUCUUGGAGAAUUGAUUCUAUCUUCUACUUCCUGUGUGGUGGGGGUUCCUCCAUCUGUGUCUCUGCUUUCUAUAAAGGAAUCUAAUAUUGAAGAAAAAUGGAGGUACAGGUCAGAUAAGGAAAGCCUACUUUCCAGGGAACAGAUUGGGCAGGGCAGAGAUUAGAGGAGGGACUAGGGCUCUCCUAUCCAUGGCUCGCAGGCUGAGUGUGGCAGGGAGCCUCUGCAACAACUCAAGUAGGAUAAUUCAGUAGCCGUGGAUUGGAUUCUUGAGAGAGUCUGGAAGAGAGGCCCCUACGCAUCAGUGAGGAGAAGGCAAUGGCAACCCACUCCAGUACUCUUGCCUGGAAAAUCCCGUGGAUGGAGGAGCCUGGUGGGCUACAGUCCAUGGGGCCUCUAAGAGUCAGACACGACUGAGCGACUUCACUUUCACUUUUCACUUUCAUGCAUUGGAGAAGGAAAUGGCAACCCACUCCAGUGUUCUUGCCUGGAGAAUCCCAGGGACAGAGGAGCCUGGUGGGCUGCUGUCUAUGGGGUCGCACAGAGUCGGACACGACUGAAGUGACUUAGCAGCAGCAGCAGCAGCAAUCAUCAGUGAACCUUGUGCAUUAGUUGACUUUCCUUCUCAGUAUCUCUAGGUGCAGUCUUUCCUUUGUGUUAGGGCUGAUGUGGAGAGCAGUCUUUAGCUUCGAAAAGUCUCCUAUCAGACCUUCUGGCAAAGUUCCGGGAGAGGUGGCUCACAGGAGAAGAAUCUGGAGACCAUCCAUGCUGUCCACGCAGGGGACUGAAGGAGGGUGGAGCUAGGCAGUGCGUCUCGCCACUGGGUGGCGCUGUGAGCUGCUGCGGUUGAUUCUGGAGGACACGUCUCAGGCUUACCCCUCCGGGAUGACUUCCGGUCUGCAUCACAGGAGAGACCACCAGUGAACAUGACUCAGCACUGUCCCUGAGGGCCUCACUAUCAACCUCGUGAUCACUGAUCAUCUUAUCCUGUAUGCGAAUUCCUAAGGCUCUCCACGUCUAAUCGAAAGGAACAUUCCUCUGGGCCUCCUUUGCUCCUGCAGCUUCAUCAGCUUGCCUGCAAGAAGCCAAGGUGGCCCCGGGGGCCCCUCUGUCUUAGGGAAAGGUGGGUCAUCGCUCCACCUUCUUUCCUGAUCCAGUCUUCCCAGAAGAUGACACGGAAGGAGAACCUCUAGAGAAGGGGAUGUGGAAGAGAGCCUUAGGAUGAGGCCUAGAAGGGCCCUGAGAAGUCAGGGAUAUGACUCCUGACAAGCCUUCCUUGUCCCCAUUCUGCCCACACAGCUGUGUAUCCAUCUCACAGCCCCAGGGACAAGCCCCUUUGUGAGGGCAGCUUUCUGGCCGGGGCAAGAUCACUGUUGUGGGGCAUGUGGCAGAGUGUCCCGCUGCCCUCUGGGGGCCUCCUGAUGGGGCUGCUCCCACUAUGUCCCAGCUCCUCUGCGUUUGCCUUUGCCAACACUAGCUUCUUCAUCCUCAGCCUCCAUUUUCUCCUGGGGCCUUCACGUAGCGUUUGUUCUCGGCCAAUGUCCUCACUCACUGGCGCCUCUCUUCCACCAGCACACUUCUACCUCUGGACCCCACAUUCUUCACCUCUACACCUUGACUUUGUUGUCAAAAGUGAACCACAGGUGCAUACUCAGCCCCUAGAGCUUAAGCCCUGCCCGGGCCCCCCAUCCACCUUCUCAGUUGAUCCUUCAACCUCCCUCAGGAGGGUCUCAACCUCUCACCAAAUCCUGCGUGGAGCUGACUGAUUUCAUUUGCCUGUCAUCACCCACCACCAACUUUCUCCCCAACUGCCAGGCCCCGCUUUAAGUCACUCAGGCUGAUCUGAUGCCAUCUUCUCUGUCCCAACCAUGCCAGGCAGGGACCACUCAUGUCUUUUGUUAUUAGCUUUAUUUUAUUAUUUUUCUCUAGUCUUGAUGUUCUAGUAUCUUGAGUCCUCAAUGGCCAGGAAGAAAUUACCCCUCCAAAGGGUUACCAGUUCUUAGACUCAGCAAAUGGCUUGCCUGUCAGGGUCACGGUUCUUUCAUUUGCACCUGCUGAAAUGUCUUAUUCUUUAAAUACUUUUUCAUAAUGCAGUCACCGAGAAAAAGACAAAAAAAAAAAAGAAAAGAAAGAAAACUAAAAACACUCAUGGGCUUGUCAAAGUGAGAGGAUCCAGUGGGCGCAACCCCAAGACAGGCUUACCCUGUAUGUCUUCUCUCUGAAACUUUGUACAGCUGGAGGGAUGGGUAGGGUUGCAUAAGAAACAGGAGAGCACUUUGUUGACAGUGAGAAAUUUAGAGUAUGCAAUACUUCUUGGAAUUCAAUGUUAAUAAUAUCGAGUUGACACAAGAGUUAGCAAAUUUACUUAACUUGGUCAUAGUUUUGAAACCAAUAAGCUCUUGUUUCAAAGCCAUAUCAUUCCUCUAAAAGAUGCGAACCAGUUGUGUCAACAUCAGUCAGUUCAGUUCAGUCGCUCAGUCAUGUCCGACUCCUUGCGACCCCAAGGACUGCAGCACGCUAGUCUUCCCUGUCCAUCACCAACUCCCAGAGUUUGCUCAAACUCAUGUCCACUGAGUCAUUGUUGCCAGCCAACCAUCUCAUCCUCCAUCAUUUCCUUUUCCUCCGACCUUCAAUCUUUCCCAGCAUCAGGAUCUUUUCAAAUGAGUCAGUUCUUCACAUCAGGUGGCCAAAGUAUUGGAGUUUCAGCUUCAGCAUCAGUCCUUCCAAUGAAUAUUCAGGACUGAUUUCCUUUAGGAUGGACUGGUUGGAUCUCCUUGCAGUCCAAGGGACUCUCAAGAGUCUUCUGCAUAUAACAAGGGGAAAAUCUUUGAAGUACUAGUUUCAGUUAUUGGGGAAAAACUUUUGGUGGUAAAGUAAAUAUAAUGGAACUUACCAUUCUAACCGUUUAAAAAGUACACAGUUGGGUGGCAUUAAGUACUUCCACAAUGUGGUACAAACUUCACCACAACUUGGUUCUAGAACUUAUUUCUAUUUCCCUGAAAGGAAACCUCACAUCCAUUAAGCAGUGACUCCCCAUUGCUCCCACCCCUGCAACCCAGCGUCUGGCACCUACUCAUCUGUUUUCUGUCUCUAGAGACUUUCUUAUUCUGGAUAUUUCAUAUAAGUGGAAUCAAUUGUUGGACCUUUUGUGUUUGGCUUCUUUCACUUAGCACAAUGCUUUCAGUGUUAUUCUAUGUUAUAGGUGAACAAUUUCCAUUGUUUGGAUAGCCUACAUUUCUAGUCAUUCAUAGGAUAGUUGGGUGGUUGCCACCUAUUUGCUAUUUCGAGUAACACAGCUAUGAAAUUUGUAUACAGAUUUUGUUUGAACACCUGUGCUGAAGAGGCCAUUUUUUCUCCCAUUAGUCUUGGCACUCUUGUGGAAAAUCAGUUUACCAUAUAUGUAUUAUUUUAUUUCUAGACUUCAAAUUCUAUCUCAUUAAUCGAUAUGUCUAUCCUUAUGUAAGUACCAUACUGCGUUUAGUAUUUUAAUUCUGCAGUAAGUUUUGAAAUCAAGAAGUAUGAGUCCUCCAGCUCCUUUUUUUUUUUUUUUUUUUAGUAUGACUGGGGGCCCUUGCAAGUCCAUAUGAAUUUUAGGAUAAGUUUUUCCAUUUCUGCCAAAAAUGCACCCAGGAUUUUUGAAAGGAAUUUCAGUGAAUCUGUAGAUCACUUGGGAUGAUUUCUGUCUUAAUAAUAUUAAUUCUUUCAAUCCAUAGGCAUAUUGUUUUCCCAUUUAUUUAUAUUUCCUUUAAUAUCUUUCAGCAUUUUUUUUCAUUUUUGAUGUAUAAAUCUUCCCAAAAAUAGAUGAGGGAACAUUUUAACUCAUUACAUGAGGCCAAUAUUAUCCUGAUAUCAAAGCAAUCAAAUGCAUAAAAAACAAUAAAUAAAAAACUACAGAUCAAUAUCCCUUAUGAAUAGAGAUGCAAAAUUCUCAACAAAAUAGCAAACCAAAUCCAACAGCAUAUUAAAAGGACUACAUACCAUGACCAAAUGAGAUUUAUCCCAGCAAUUCCAAGAUGAUUUAAUGCCAAAAAGCAUUUGAUAAAAUCAAACACAAAAUGCCAAAGACUAUUCAAAUUACCGUACAAUUGCACUCAUUUCACAUACUAGCAAGAUUAUGCUGAAAAUCUUUCAAGCUAGGCUUCAACGGUAUGUGAACCAGGAACUUCCAGAUGUACAAGAUGGAUUUAUAAAAGAGGAAACAGAGAUCAAAUUGCCAGCAUAUGCUGGAUUAUAGAAAAAGCAAAGGAAUUCCAAAAAAACAUCAUCUUCUGCUUUAUUGACUACACUAAAGCCUUUGACUGUGUGGAUCACAACAAACUGUGGAAAAUUCUUAAAGAGACAGGAAUAACAGACCACAUUACCUGCCUCCUGAGAAACCUGUAUGCAGGACAAGAAGCAGCAAAACUGGACAUGGAACAACAGACUGAUUUAGAAUUGGGAAAGGAGUACGUCAAGGCUGUAUAUUGUCACCCUGCUUAUUUAACUUAUAUGCAGAGUACAGCUGACUCAUCAUACGAAAUGCUGGGCUGGAUGACUCACAAGCUGGAAUCAAGGUUCCUGGGAUAAAUAGCAACAACCAGAUAUGAAGAUGAUACCACUCUAACGGCAGAAGGCAAAAAGGACCUAAAGAGUCUUUUGAUGGAGGUGAAAGAAGAGAGUGAAAAAUCUGACAUAAAAGUCAACAUUCAAAAGCUAAGAUCACAGCAUCCGGUCCAAUCACUUCAUGGCAAAUAGAUGGAGAAAAAAGGAAAAGUGGAAACAGUGUUAAAUUUCAUAUUUUUUGGCUCCAAAAUCAAUGCAGUGACAGAAGCCAGGAAAUUAAAAGACAUUUGCUCCUUGGAAGAAAAGCUAUAACAACCCUAAACAGUGCAUUAAAAAGCAGAGACAUCACAUUGCUGACAAAGGUCUGUAUAGUCAAAGCUAUGGUUUUUCCAGUAGCCAUGUACAGUGUGAGAGUUGGACCAUACAGAAAGAAAACUGAGGGCCGAAGAACCGAUGCUUUCAAACUGUGGUGCUGGAGAAGACUUUUAGAGUCCCUUGGACUGCAAGGAGAUCAAACCAGUCAGUCCUAAAGGAAAUCAACCCUGAAUAUUCAUUGUAAGGACUGAUGCUGAAGCUGAAGGUCCAAUACUUUGGCCACCUGAUGGGAACAGCUGACUCAUUGGAAAAGACCCUGAUACUGGGAAAGACUGAGGGCAAGAGGAGAGGGGAACAACAGAGGAUGAGAUGGUUGGAUGGCAUCACUGACUCAAUGGACAUGAGUUUGAGCAAACUCAGGGAGAUAGUGAGGGACAUGAACUUGGCACGCUGCAGUUCAUGGGGCUGCAAAGAGUCGGACACAACUGAGCGACUGAACAACAACGAUACAACUUCCAUAACAAAAUACCCAACAACCAGCAACAGAACUUCUUAACCUAAUAAAGAGCAUUUAUGAAAAACUCACAGCUAACAUCAUAAUCAGUAGUGAAAGACCGAAUGUUUUCCCCCUAAGAUCAGGUACAAAGAAAGGUGCCUGCUUUCACCAGUUUUUCAGUAUUGUAGUGGAAAUUCUAGCCAGGGCAAUUCUACACGAAAAAUAAAUAAAAGUCACUCUAAUUGAAAAGAGAGAAGUAAAAGUUAUCUGUACUCUUUGCGGGAGGUCUGUUAGUAGCAAGUGCUCUGUUUUGUGUUUUGUUAUUGUGGUUAAAAGAUCAUUUCACUGGUUGCACAACUCCAGGUUGAUAGUUUUUCUCAGCACUUUAAAGACUAUAUUCUACUGUCUUCUAACUUCAUUAGGGAUUGUAGUGGGGUCCAAUGGGGGUAUAAUUGUCUUUUCCUGUGCAAUGAUUUUCUGUCUCCCCAGCUGCUUUAAGAUAUUGUCUGUGUUUACUGAUCUGCACGUUCGCUGCCGCAGAUCUAAGGGAGUGGUCACGAGGGUGAUUUGCGCCUCUCAACAUUAAAAGAAAAUAUUACACUGGGGCAAAAGGGCAGUUUUCUAGAAAAGAGAGCAACCACAGUCAUUGGGAGCCCAGGGAACACAAGAAACACUUUCUAAAAUUAUAUUUGCCUCUUAACACAAGAGUCUCCCUUCAUCCAGGUGAGCAAACAGCUUCUAAAAUGCAGCCCAGAUCAGCUGAGGUUGGCCUCUGGGGGGGGUGAGGCUCCCAGAAGCUGGUGUGGUAAGGAGGGGGGGGUGUGGACUUUGUGCUCUGCUGAGCUCUUUCAUGCAGGGCUGGGGACACUGGGUAAAUGUGCUCCAUCAGCCUGGCGACAAUGACACUAUACUGACAUCAUCGCUACCUGAACGGCCCUCUGGUAAGGACCUCAACCACUAGUAACUGGAGGGGGCGGGGUGGGGCGGGGGCAGUCUCCAGGGGUAAAAGCAAGGUCACACCACAGACACAAAGCAUUAUGAUUCUGAUAUCACCUCCAGAAGGUGCUUCAUGGGCUCUCAGCUUGCACAGAGGCCUCCCCGCUGUGCAUCCCACGUGCUGUGGGGGCCUCCCUUCUGCUUCAUUUCCAGCCCAGACACAAGUCUAGCUCAGAGCUCAGGUCCCCGUACUGUCCUGGGUCUUUCCAGCACCCCAAAAGUGCCUUGCCACCCAUUACUCUUUGUUCUGGUAGUGGUGGGGAAAGCAACCAUCACCCUUUAGUGCCACCUGUACAUCCACAUAUCACUGAGUCCUAAAGGGUAUUUCCUGCUAUGACCCCAUUUGAAAGCUGAGAACACUGAGGUUCCAGUCAUGCGGCCCAACAGGGUUGAAACCAGUAGAGCUAUCCUUUCUCUUUCCACCUCCACAGACCUCUCUGCCCUCCUCAGCCCCUGGACCAUUCUUUUUCUCCAUUUUUCCUUCAACCAGACAAACCCCUGACACUUGAACACACCCGAUGAUCCAAUCAGUCCAUCCUAAAGGAAAUCAGUCCUGAAUAUUCAUUGGAAGGACUGAUCCAAUACUUUGGCCACCUGAUGUGAAGAACUGACUCAUUUGAAAAGACCCUGAUGCUGGGAAAGAUUGAAGGUGGGAGGAGAAGGGGACAACAGAGGAUGAGAUGGUUGGAUGGCACCACCGACUCAGUGGACAUGAGUUUGAGCAAGCUCUCGGAGUUGGUGAUGGACAGGGAGGCCUGGCGUGCUGCAGUCCAUGGGGGUCACAGAAAGUCAGACGCGACUGGGUGACUGAACCGAACUGAACUGAACUGACCUGGCUCAGCCACGGAACUGACUCUGAGGGUAAAACCAGUGUCCUUUCUUUUCAGUGAAAGUCUACCUUGACCUUUCAACCUGAUGCCUGACAUUACCUAAAGGGGCCAAGCUGGCUUUGGCCUGAAGCCAAACAAGAUGACGCUACAUCCUGACUGCUUUGCCGAUUGUUUCUCCCCAUUCUGCAUGUGGGCUGUUUUAUAACCUGCACUCCUCAAACUCUGAUCAGUGAUCACCUUAAGCCUGAUCUUAGUGAGGCAAAAUGAAGACUUUGUGAUAAAUAGUGGUUUCUGCCAAAAACCUGUCUAUGACAGAGAAUUGGGGGAAUCUGAAAACCGAAACGAGUUUGGUCAAGUUGGGAAAAGCAGCGUGGCAAGUCGGACUGGCAGCCCUAGAGACCUGAGGGAGAGGGUGACCGACAUGACUAUAGCUGGGUUUCUGUUUGUGAGCUGGACAUGUUUCCACAGUUUAACUGCAGACACAGCCUCUAUAGGCAUGGCUACAAUGUUCCCGGCUUUGUGUUGAGCACAUAACAUGCAUUUGUUGUUUGAUUGUCGUGGGGUGAAUGGAGGACCCCUCCAAACACACGCCCACAUCCUAACCUCCGGACCCCAUGAAUAGGACCAGAUUUAGAAAAAGGACCUUUGCAGACAUAAUGAAGUUAAGGAUCUCGGGAUCGUCUCUGAUUAACCAAGUGGGCCCUAUACCCAACGCCAAGAAUCUUUAUAGAAGACCCAGAGAGAGACAGGUGAGGAAGCCCACGAGAAGACAGGGGGCAGAGAGUGGAGUGAGACGGCCACAGGCCAAGGAAAACCCAGACUCACCAGGAGCUGGGAGAGACAGGGACUUUCCCCCUCGAGCCUUCGGAAGGAGCACGGCCAUGCUGAUGCCUUGAUUUUGGACUUCUGGCCUUCAGAAUGGUGACAGAAUGCUUUUCUGUCGUAAGGCACCCAGCUUAUAGCAAUUUGUGAUGGCAGCUCUAGGAAACGAUGAUUCCUUCAACUGCCCUGGGAAAUGGGCAUGUCAGUGACAUGCCCAAGGUCACAACCUAACUCCUGUGGGAUUCCAUUUACUUCUGUCAGAAAAAUGAGGAUGUUGGAAUAAAAGGUUGAAAUGUAUUCCCCCAAGUUUCCCAUAAACGUGUGAAUAAAUUGAGGUUAUCGCCAGAGGCUGUAAGAGGCUUUAGCAACAUGGCCUCUUGCUGCCCUCUAGUGGUCAGGAUGGUGAAUGUCACCACGUUGUCUCCGUCGUUUCUAGCUCCGUGUGUGCGCGCGCGCGCCUGUGUGUGUGUGUGUGUGUGUGUGUGUGUGUGUGUGUGUGUGUGUGAGUCUCUCUCAGUCGUGUCUAAGUCUUUGAGAUCCCAUGGACUGUAAGCCCACCAAGCUUCUCUGUCCAUGGAAUUUUCCAGGCAAGAAUACUGGAGUGUGUAGCCAUUCCCUCUUCCAGGGAACCUUUCCCCACCCAGGGAUCAAACCCAGGUCUUCUGCAUUGUAGGCGGAUUCUUUACCAUCUGAGACACUAGGGAAGCCCAGCUCCACCGAGAACCAGUAAAAAGCUGUGCACUUUAGCAGAAUAAAACUUAAGAAAUGUCUCUCUGUGCUCUACCAGGGUCCGCCUACAAGAAGAGAGAUUAUGUUCACUUCAUUAGGGCACAUCCAGCCACCCAGCGCUGAGCCCUGAAGAGGAGAGGAGGCAAGGUGCAGCAGCAGGGCCUGGUGGGACUGGUCCCCCGCCUACUCCUGGGUGAACCUGGGCGUGGUGCAGCCCUCUUGGAGCUGCCCGUUCCUCGUCUGUGAAAUGAGCACAAUACUUGCCUCACACUAUGAGACGAAAUGAUAUAAAGUGCCCAGCACAUGGCAGGCCCUCAACAAAGGUUGAUACGCGAUACAUUUUGUGUGAAAGAAAUGCGAUCACCUACAUAAAGGACAGGGGUUUCCCUGGUGGCUUAGUGGUAAAGAAUUCACCUCCCAAAGCAGGAGAACGCGUGUUCGCUCCCUCGGUCAGGGAGAUCCCCUGGAGAAGGAAAUGGCAGCCCGCUCCAGUAUUCUUGCCUGGGAAAUCCCAUGCACAGAAGAGCCUGGUGGGCUACAGUCCAUGGGGUCACAGAAGAGUCGAACGUGACUUAGCGACUAAACAACCACAACACAAAACAAAAUGUCAGAGCCUAGAAGAGAGCCAUAAAUGGUGUGUGAAUGAGAAGGAAGCAGGAGGGUAUUCGGGGGGGAAUCCUGGACUUGUCAGAGCUUUGGGGCCUGAUUUAUUAGCCCUGAGACACACUCACUCUGUGUCACUUCUCUGGACCUCAGCUUUGUCAUCUGUGAAAUGGAAAGUUGAAGAAAAGAAUCCAGUAACUGAAAGCCCAUGGACAGUGACUUAAUCCAUUGACCAAAUCUGUCCUGCCACUUGUUUUCAUGCAGCCCGUGAGCUAAAAAUGAUUUUUACAGUUUAAAUGGCUGAAAACAAUCAAGAGAAGAACUGUUUUAUGACGUGUGAAAAAAUAUGAAAUUCAAAUAUGUGUCUGCAAAUCAAGUUCUGUUGGAAUCUAGCCAAGCUCAUUUUUUAUGUUUUGUCCAUGGUUCCUUUCUUGCUAAAACAGCAGAAAUGAGGCGUUGGUUUAGAAAGCUGAAAAUAUCUGACCCUUCACAGAAAAAGUUAGCCAACCUCCAGCUUAACCAAGAAAGCUAUUUGAAGCUCAGAAUGACAGCAUUCUGGGUUUACAUCUCAGCAGUCGUCUUGACCUUUCCUUGGGUCUCAUGGUGCCAGCCUCAGUUCCGUGAAUCACGAGCUAUAUUCACUACAAUAAGUAAGGAGCAGGGAGGAAGGCUCCCCUGCCAUGGCACUUUUAUCCAGGAAGAGAAUACUUCCCAGAAACCCUGUGUGUGUGUGUGUGUGUGGGCGGGGGGGGAGUGUUAGUUUCUUAGUCGUGUCCGUUUCUUUUCGACCCCGUCGACUAUAGCUUGCCAUGCUCCCCUGUCCAUGCGAUUCUCCAGGCAAGAAUACUGGAGUGGGUAGCCAUUCCCUUCUCCAGAGGAACUUCCUGACCCAGGGAUUGAACCCAGGUCUCCUGCAUUACGAGCAGAUUCUUUACCAUCUGUGCCACCAGGGAAGCCCCUCCCAGAAGCCCUACCAGUUGUUUAUAAGAAGAUAAGAGCACGGGAGAGCAGAGGGACUAACUGCAAGGACUCAAGUGACUGAUGGGGAUGGCCUGAACUGAGAGGAUGAAGAUGGUGAGAUGUGGACAGAUUCUGGAUACUUUCUGGGGGGAUUUCUGCUGGACUGAUUGGGUAGGGGUGGAAGGCAGAGAAAAUGGGGACCGAGGGUCGUAUCCACAUAUUUGGCUUAAACCACUGGGAAGCUCCUGGGAUUAUUGGACAAGUUUUACAGAAAAGGUAACUUUUAGGAAUGAAUCCAAAUGUAUUUCUUACAUAAGAGCUUUGACUGCACGUGUGUGUGUGUGUGUGUGUGUGUGUGUGUGUGUGUGUGUAUCCUCUCUUACUGGGAUGCUCCCGUGCCCAGCAGGUUGGCGAGGGGGCAGAGGGGUAGAGUAGUGCUCACCACCAGCAGGUUGGCACGGGCUUGCUGCUGUAGCAACUUACUGAUCCCGGCCCUCACAGCAUGCUCACCACAUGCCAUGUGCUGUGCAAAGUGCUACCAAUAUUAACAGAUGUAAUCCUCAGAACAACCCAGAAGCCCCUUUACCAAUUCUCAUUUUAUUGAUGAGGAAAUCUGGGAUUCAGGAAAGUGAGGUGAUGUGCCCCAAAUGACAGCAUGGCUGGUGGCAAAGCCAACAUUUGAACUUGAGCCAUCGGAUUUCAGAGUCUAGGCUUACGAACAGCCCCUUCCAGCCACAGCAAAGGAAGGCAGGGCAGAGUGCUGAGCAGUUUGUCUUCCUUUCAGAGUCUCUAAAUGUAAAAACACUUAAGUGCUGGCACAUAGUAAGUGCUCACUAAAGUAUAAUAAUUGCUGUUAUUUUUAUUAACACCAAGGAACCUGGCAGGCUACAACCCUCUUGAGUGGCCAUGUUCUGUAGGAGGCAGAAGAUGCAAGUUGGGGGAGAAAUUGAUUUAUAUCAGAUGCCAAACCAUCAAAAAUAACUGGCAGGAGAGAAGAAAUCAGACAGAGUGUGUGAGUGUCUUUAUUUCUCUUUAUUUGUUGUCACACUGUUACAGUUAAAGAGUGGAAAUUUAGCAAGAAAAAGAACACAAGUCUGCCCACAUUCUUCUAGAUUUACAUUCUUUUCACUUAUUGAAAAAGGAAAAAAAAUUGGACCAAAUGUUAAAAACAUGAAAAAAAUCAAAAGGCAAGAAAUAUGGAGGGGAAAAAAAUCAGACUGGCAGCUAUGUGGAAAUUGAAAAAUGCAAAUAACAUGGAGCUUGUUUCAAUUAUCUGACGCCCCCAUGCUGGAAUUGAUUACUGCUGUUGGGAGGAGAAAAAGGGAUGAGAGAAUUCUGCAAAUGAGAUCCUCAGAUCUUUCGUGAGAAAUUCAAUCCCAGACACAAAAGUGCUAGAGGGGCAGGUUGAGAGGUGAAGAAUGUGAGAAUUCCCUUUUGAGGGGAGCUGGCAAGAAUUCCUUGCUCUAGGGUUGAUGUCCCUGUAGUAACAAGGAUUUACCUCCAGGGGGCAUCCAACUUCCUGCACCAGAAAGAUGAGGUUCCAGGGUCCGCGGUGGGAAAGGGAGAGGCCCUGGUAGACUUGGAACCCCGAAGGCAGGGCAGCUCUGGCUGCCUCAGCAAUGCUCUCUCCAUUCAGAAAGGUCUUGAGUAAGGUCUUCUGAAGUCAAAACCAAACCACAAAAGAGAAACGGUACACAAGAAAAAGAAAGCAGCCAUGGGCAGAAGAGAGCCGCGCUUUUCAAAUCAGUCAUUCCAGAAGGAAAUUUGUGGUCAGGAAUGGCUGCCCAUGAGAACUGCUUUUCUGGGAAUGACAGAAAAUGUCUCAUUAAGGAGGAAAUGAAGGUGACCCCCUAAAUAAGAGGUCAACAAACUUUUUUUGUCAAGGGAAGGUUAGUAAAUAUUUUAGGCUUUGCAGACAGUUGGGCUCUGUUGCAACAAUACUGGCAUAGUGUGAGAUUAGCCGUAGACAAUGAGUAAGCCAAUGACCACGACUGUGUUCCAAUAAGUUUAUUUACGGACACUAAAAUUUGAAUUUCACUGUGAAGAGAAUAGAAAGACAAGCCACAGACUGGCAGAAGAUAUUUGCAAAAAGCGUCUGAUACGCAAAAUAUACAAAGAAUUCUUAAAACUCAACAAUGAGAAAAUAACCCAAUUAGAAAAUGAGCAGCAGAUCUGGACAGACACCUCACCAAAGAAGACACACAGAUGUCACGUAAGCGUAUGAAAAGAUGCUCAACAUCAUAAGUCAUUAGGGAACUGCACAUUAAAACAACGAGUACCACUACACACCACCUAGAAACGCUAAAAUCCGAAACGCUGACAUCAAAUGCUGACAAAGACGUGGAGUCACAGGAACUCUCACACAUUGCUGGUGGGAAUGCAAAAUGGUACAGCUACUUUGGAAGACUGGUUGCUGCUGCUGCUAAGUCGCCUCAGUCGUGUCUGACUCUGUGCAACCCCAUAGACGGCAGCCGACCAAGCUCCCCCGUCCCUGGGAUUCUCCAGGCAAGAACCCUGGAGUGCUUUGCCAUUUUCUUCUCCAAUGCAUGAAAGUAAAAAGUGAAAGUGAAGUCACUGAGUCGUGUCCAACUCUCACCGACCCCAUGGACUGCAGCCUACCAGGCUCCUCGGUCGAUGGGAUUUUCCAGGCAAGAGUACUGGAGUGGGGUGCCAUUGCCUUCUCCUGGAAGACUGGUGGUUUCUAGCCAAACCAAACAUACUGUACCAUCCAGCAAUCACACUCCUUGGUAUUUAUCCAAAUGACUUGAACAUUUACGUCCACGCAAACGGGCAUGCAAAUGUUUCUAACAACCUUAUUCUUAUUUGCCAAAACUUGAAAAUGACCAAGAUGACCUUCAGUAGGUGAAGGGGUAAACAAGCUGUGGUCCAUCCAGACAGUGGUGUGUCACUGAGCAAUAAAAGAGAUGAGCUAACAGGCCAUGAAUAUACACAAAGGAUAUUCAAACGUGUGUUACCAAAUGAAAGGGGCCAAUCUGAAAAGGCUCCGUACUGCAUAAUUCCAACUGGUUGAUGUUCUAGAAAAGGCAAAACUAUGCAGACGGUACAAAGGUCAGUAGAUGCCACAAACUGGGAAGGAGGAGGAAGGAUGGAUAAAUGGAGGCUAGGCAUAUGUGCAGAGGAUUUUUAGGGCAGUGAAGCUAUGCUGUGUGAUACUGUGAUGGUGGAUACAUGUCUUUAUAUAUUUGCCAAAAUCCAUAAAAUAUACACCAUCAGGUGUGCCUGUGUGUUUGUGCCCAGUCAUGUCCGACUCUUUGCAACCCCGUGGACUAUAGCUCACCAGGCUCCUCUGUCCAUGGGAUUUCCCAGGCAAGAAUACUGAAGUGGGUUGCCAUUUCCUUCUCCAAGGAAUCUUCCCAAGGAGUGAACACUAAUGUAAACUAUAGACUUUAGUUCAUAAUAAUGUACCAACAUUGGCUUAUCCGUUGUAACAAAUGUACUUCAUUAAUACAAGAUAAUUGAAGGCCAUGGAGUGGUAGCAGUAGUGGGUAUGUGGAAACUCUGUACAUGCGGCUCUUUAUUUUCUGUAAACUUAAAACUAGUAAAAAAAAAAAAACCAACAAAAUAAAGCCUAUUAAAAAAAGAAAGGAAAAUAUUUUCGAUUUCAUAUAUUUUCAUGUGUCAAAAUAUUCUUUUUUUGAUAGUGUAAAAAGCACUUUUAGCUUGUUCAUACAAAAAUAAGAUCAUACAAAAAUAAGUGGAUUUGGUGGAUUUGGCCAGCAGGUAUUUUGCCAGCCCCUAACGCUGU